UGAAUAUUUUAUUGGGAUUGCGAGCGUUGAAGGUUAAAGACAAAACCCACGCAGUGGUUUUGCCAGAAACAGCAUGUUAAAGGAGUUGAAUCGAGGCGAACACGGCCGCUGCGAGAUGGGCUUGACAGCGGCAGGGUGGCAGUGGGUGUCCGCGCGUGGGGAGUCUUCAGGUGAUGGUGCAGAGAGGGGCCCAAGAGGGGGUCCCGCUGAAGACUUUUGGGAGGGGACUGGGGAGAAGACUAGAUGGAAAGCCACAAGCAGGGGCACAGGAGGUCGGCUGGGAGCCGGGUCGGGUGGCUGGUGACCCACGGAGAGCUGCUCACUGGAGACACAGAGGAGCGUCGGCAGACGCCCCCAGAGCGCCCACCCCGGCGAGGCAAAGGUUAACACUGGGUGGGAUGGGCGUCCGGCUGAAUGGGCAGGCAAUUUGGGGUGCCUCGAAGUCCUUUUGGAUCUCAGGCCAAUCUGUCUGGGUUCUCCAAUUAUGACAAUUUGGCUCUUUGGGUUUCUGUCCAAUGUUCCGAAUGACCCAUUCCCCGGGCGCCUGCCGAGGGACCCUCUGUGCCAAGGGCGGGCUGGCAUGGACCGCCCCCAGGGUCAUGCCAGUCCUGUCGCCAGGGCCCAGAAGCCUUGGGCCUCUAGACUGCUAGUCGGGCUGCCUGCAGGGGGGCUGCGCUGGGGGCAGAAGUGGGGGGAGGUAAACCUCCCAGCCGCCUGGAUCCCUGUGGCAGCCCUAGGCACCGAGAUAGAUGGUGGCUGGCCGGUAUCACCAGACCCACAGACCUCAGGGCCCUGGCAACCCCGGUUGAAGGAUCAACCCACAGCUCUCCUGCUCUGCGGGCUCCCUCCUGACCUCCCCUACUACCUGACCUCACCCCGUCUAGACCCCAAGAGACCCCACAGAGCUAGAGCCUCUUGGGGACAAGACAGGGUGCUGAGGAGGUGGGCAAGGUGUCACCGAGGGGUCGGGGGAGAGGUCCCCAAAUGCGCGGAAGGCGGCCACUUGCUCCAGCCCGAUGGAGUCACUACUCAAACACCUGCAGCCCCUUCCCCCCCAGCGGCCAUGGGCCAGCUGGGGGCCCCAUCCUCGUGGCCUCCGAGCACCUUCCUGACACCUGGGGAGACGCCACCCCAGCCCUCCUCCACCCCUCAGGACCUCCGGGGACCAGCCACUGUCCCCGGAAGCCAGGCUAGGCAGCGGCCUUCCCCAUUCCCCGGGGACUUCUCCGUGGGGGGCGGUGGCCAGCACCCCACGGAGGCUCCACUCUCGACUCAACCCAAGCGACAGGGACAGAUCAAAACAAAAUCAAACGCAGGGUGAUAAAUGGCGGGGAGCAGGACAGAGAGAUGGUGGAAGGCUGCUUCAUGUGCUUUUGCUUUGGUCACUGCUCCCCUGUUACUGGGGUGGGAUAUGUUAAUUUGGUGGCUGAACGCAUGAGAAGCUAAGGAGGGGGGUCAAAAAAAAAAAAAAGAAACAAGCCCCAGGAGAAACGAAUUAGAGGGGAAUAGAUCAAUUGGCGUCAAUUUGGGUUCUGAUUUGUGUCUGUAACUCUGCAAGUCUCCUCAACACUCUCUCCUGACUUUUGUACCAAAACCUCACCGGGCCACUUCCUACCCCCGAGUAUCCCCCCACCCAGCCCCCACUGCCCCCCACCCACCCCUCCAACCGCCAGACUUCCCACACUCCCCAUCAUCUUUGCCAGCUUCCGGGGCGCCCCAUUUCUGAGAGACCCCUUGGGGGCCGGCAAAGAUGAUCCCAGGCAUGCCCCAGGGGGCAAGGCCCCCGAUGUUUCUGGGGGGCAUGUAGGGGUCAGGCUACUCGGGUCGGGCACGUCUUGCUUGCUACAGCCACCUCCAGUCUGGCCACACCUGCUGCUCACUCGCACGGUGGCGGGGUGCACUGAUGGUGGCUCUGGGGGCAUCGGGCUCACACUGUGGGGGGCAUGGGGACACUGCUGAGAAGGAAGGGGCACCUCCCUCAUCUCAGAAAGAUGGAACCGCCAGGCCUGGCCUGAGACACACCCACUCCCCACCUAGGGCAGGUCCCAGGGGAUGGGAGGAGAACGAAGGAACAUGAAAACCUCACUGAGAGAAUUUGGGAUGGAACAUGGUCUGAUCUGCGUAACACGGGGUUCUUUGGUUAUUCUCAUUGUUUUCAUCCAUCCGUGUGUGUGUGUGUGUGUGUGUGGGUGUGUGUGUGUGUGUGUGUGUGUGUGUGAUUUAAGGGCUCGUGUUUUCUAAUUUUUGUUGUGUAAUUUGGGGGGGUUAAUUUGAAGUGAUAAUUUGGGGGACAUUUAAAGCCAAUUCGUUUUUUGCUAUGAUUCCCUCGGCUCGAUGGAGGGAGCCGAGGAGAGUAGC